UCACCUGAUGCGGAAGUUAAAAGCGGCUGACGCGACGCUGAUCAUAACGUUUGUUAAAGCAUUUCUAAUAUCGCACCUUAUCAGAUGGGAAGAGUCAUCCAUCGCUCACUUCGGUGGUCCGUCACUCCCUAUAUCCUCCCAAAGCCCUCAGCUUUCUCUUCUUGUUCAAACGGUCCUCUCCAGUCAGUGGGAGAAACCAUCCCUUUACUGUGUGUCGACAUUAGGAUGGGAAGAGGAAAAGCUGACAAAUGGAUACAGUUUAGCUGAGAAACCUUUCAAAGGUACAUAUGAUUUCUGUCCUCAUUUAAUAUUAAAUGUACAGGCCCAGAGUUACUGUAUUUGAAGGGCUGCUAUAAGAAAGAGGAUGCAUACAGUAAAUUGUUAUUAUAGCUUGGGGUGUAUUACUAUUUCACCAGGAGGUGGCAAUAUACAUUUGACAGUACAAUGUACAGUCAGUGCCAAUAGAAAGUACACCCCCUUGAACUUGUGGGAUUGAAAUAGAUUUAAUUGUACUUUUUUUUUACAUUGAUCUACACAAAAUACUCUGUCAAAGUGAAAAUAUAUAUGUAUGUGUAUAUAUAUUUACAAAUUAAUAUCAAUUAAAUAACUAAAAUAUAGUCGUUACAUAAGUAUUUGCCCCAUUUGUUUAGGUAAGCCUAAAUUAUUUCAGAAGUAAAUUUGGCUUAACAAAUCACAUAAUACGUUAUAAUGUCUCACCAGGUAUGUGCCUGGUUUGGACGCCAGGUGACGGCUGUCACACCGUGAUCUUUUUCACCUGUCUUGUGCUUGUCUCCACCCCCUACCAAGUGUCUCCUAUUCUUCCCCAGUAUCCCCUGUGUAUUUAUACCUGCGUUUUCUGUUUCUCUUGCCAGUUCGUCUUGUUUUGUCAGGUCUUACCAGUGUCUUUCCUGUUUUUCAAGUUCUUGUUUUCUAGUCUUCCCGGGUUCUGACCUUUCUGUCUGUCCUGACCCUGCCUGCCGUUCUGUCCAUGAUUGACUCUGCCUUGGAUUACGAACCUCUACCUACCCUUUGCCUACCCCUUUGUUAUAAUACAUAUUAUGAGAACCAAACUAUCUGCCUCCUGUGUCUGCAUUUGGGUCAUAUCCUGAGUCGUGAUAGUGGUUCAUUAUUUUGACCUUCCUAUCUACCAUAUACUCCAUCUAAACGUGAAUCAAUUCCCAGUUGUGGUACGGUUAAAAUACUUCUCCUGGACAUUAUCAUUCACUUUGAUAAGACAAGACGUGAAAGAAAUGCUAUUUUGCUAAUGUAUGAAAGGUUCCCUGGGCAAGAAAAGGUUGAAGACCCCUGCUAUAGAAAGAGAGGACGAAUGCCAAUCCAAUCACAGCACAGGAACUGGACAGAAAUAUACACUAUAUAUACACAAGUAUGUGGACACCCCUUCGGCUAUUUCAGCCACACCGUUCCUAAGAGUUAUAUAAAAUCAAGCACACAGCCAUGCAAUCUCCAUAGACAAACAUUGGCAGUAGAAUGGUCUUACUGAAGAGCUCAGUGACUUUCAACGUAGCACCUUUCCAACAAAUCAGUUAAUCAAAUGUCUGCCCUGCUAGAGCUGCCCCGGUCAACUGUAAGUGCUGUUAUUGUGAAGUGGAAUGGUCUAGGAGCAACACUAGCUCAGCCGCGAAGUGGUAGGCAACACAAACUCAUAGAACGAAUGCUGCAGCGCGUACCGAGUAAUAAUCCUCUGUCUUAGAUUGCAACACUCACUACCGACUUCCAAACUGCCUCUGGAAGUAACGUCAGCAAAAUUACUGUUCGGUGAGAGCUCCAUGAAAUGGGUUUCCAUGGCCGAGCAGCCAGACACAAGCCUAAGAUCCCCAUGCGCAAUGCCAAGCAUCGCCUGGAGUGGUGUAAAGCUUACCGCCAUUGGACUCUGGAGCAGUGGAAACGCGUUCUCUGGAGUGAUGAAUCAUGCUUCAAAAUCUGUCAGUCCGUCCCCAGAUGGUGAAGCGUGAUACUUCCAGGGAACGCGUUUACAUCUGGGAAUCUGGGUUUGGCGGAUGCCAGGAGAACGCUACCUUCCCCAAUGCAUAGUGCCAAAUGUAAAGUUUGGUGGAGGAGGAAUAAUGGUCUGGGUCUGUUUUUCAUGGAUCGGGCUAGGCCCCUUAGUUCCAGUGAAGAGAAAUCUUAAUACUACAGCAUACAAUGACAUUCUAGACAAUUCUGUGCUUCCAACUUUGUGGCAACAGUUUGGGGAAGCCCCUUUCCUGUUUCAGCGCGAUAGCCAGGCCUAAUUGCCCAACAUCAAUGCCCGGCCUCACUAAUGCUCUUGUGGCUGAAUGGAAGCAUGUCCCCACAGUAAUGUUCCCAGAAGAGUGGAGGCUGUUAUAGCAGCAAAGGGGGAACCACCUCAUAUUAAGCACAUGAUUUUGGAAUGAGAUGUUUGACGAGCAGGUGUCCACAUACUUUUGGUCAUGUAAUAUACCAUUCUAGUCAAAAGUUUGGACACACCUACUCAUUCAAAGGUUUUUCUUAAUUUUUACUUUUCUGAAAAUUAACCAAAAAGGUGUUAAACAAACCAAAAUAUAUUCUAUAUAUUUUAUUUUUCAAUAUAGCCACCCUUUGCCUUAAACAGCUUUGCACACUCUUGGGAUUCUCUCAACCAGCUUCAUGAGGUAGUCACCUAGAAUGCAUUUCAAUUAGCAGGUGUCCCUUGUUAAAAGUACAUUUUGGGGAAUUUAUUUACUUCGUAAUGCGUUUGAGCCAAUCAGUUGUGUUUAAACAAGGUAGGGUUAGUAUACAGAAGAUAGCCCUAUUUGGUAAAAGACCAAGUCCAUAUUAUGGCAAGAACAACUCAAAUAAGCAAAGAGAAACGAUGGUCCAUCAUUACUUUAAGACAUGAAGCUCAGUCAAUCCAGAAAAUUUUAAGAACUUUGAUAGUUUCUUCAAUUGCAGUCGCAAAAGCCAUCAAGCGCUAUGAUGAAACUGGCUCUCAUGAGGACCGACACUUAAGGAAGACCCAGAGUUACAUCUGCUGCAAAGGAUAAGUUCAUUAGAGUUACCCGCCUCAGAAAUUGCGGCCCAAAUAAAUGCCUCACAGAGUUCAAGUACAGACACAUCUCAACAUCAACUGUUCAGAGGAGACUGCGAGAAUCAGGCCUUUAUGGUAGAAAUGCUGCAAUGAAACCACUACUAAAGGACACCAAUAAUAAGAAGAGACUUGCUUGGGCCAAGACCAGCAAUGGACAUUCGACCAGGUGGAAAUCUGUCUUUUGGUCUGAUGAGACCAAAUUUGAGAUUUUUGUUUCCAACCAGUGUCUGUGUGAGACAUAGUAGGUGAACGGAUGAUCUUUUCAUGUGUGGUUCCCACCAUGAAGCAUGGCGGUGGAGGUGUGAUGGAGUGGGAGUGCAUUGCUGGUGACACUGUCUGUGAUUUAUUUACAAUUCAAGGCACACUUAACCAGCAUGGCUACCACAGCAUUCUGCAGCAAUACGCCAUCCUAUCUGGUUUGCGCUUAGUGGGACUAUCAUUUGUUUUUCAGCAGGACAAUGACCCAAAACACACCUCCAGGCUGUGUAAGGGCUAUUUGACCAUGCAGGAGAGUGAUGGAGAACUGCAUCAGAUGACCUGGCCUCCACAAUCAACACGACCUCAACCCAAUUGCGGUCCAACUCAACCCAAACAAUCUCAGAGUGAAGGAAAACUACUAGUGAAGAAUCUCAAAAUUAAAAUAUAUUUUGAUUUGUUUAACACUUUUGAUUACUACAUGAUUCGAUAUGUGUUAUUUCAUAGUUUUGAUGUCUUAUUCUACAAUAACUGGUACUGUUUAUAUUGAAUGAGAAUAUAAAUGUAACAAUUGCAACAAUUUUACUGAGUUACUGUUCAUAUAAGGAAAUCAGUGAAUUUAAAUAAAUUCAUUAGGCCCUAAUUUAUGGAUUUCACAUGACUGGGCAGGGGUGCCCACUGGGGAGCUGGGCUGGGCCAAUCAGAAUAUUGUUUUUGCAAAAAAAUGGCUUUAUUACAGACAUAAAUACUCUUCAGUUUCAUCAGCUGUCCAGGUGGCUGGUCUCAUGAUCCUGCAGGUGAAGAAGCCAGAUGUGGAGGUCCUGGGCUGGCAUGGUUACACAUGGUCUGCGGUUGUGAGGCCGGUUGGCCGUACUGCCAAAUUCUCUAAAAUGGCGUAGAGAAAUGAACAUGAAUUAAUCUGGAAACAGCUCUGGUGGACAUUCCUGCAGUCAGCAUGCCAAUUACAUGCUCCCUCAAAACGUGAGACAUCUGUGGCAUUAUGUUUUGUGGGGGGAAAAACACACAUUUUAAAGUGGCCUUUUAUUGUCCACAGCACAAGGUGCACCUGUGUAAUCAUACUUAUUUUCAAUCAGCUUCUUGAUAUGCCACACUUGUCAGGUGGAUUGAUUAUCUUGGCAAUGGAGAAAUGCUCACUAACAGGGAUGUAAAUAAGCUUUUUGUGCAACAUUUCUGGUAUCUUUUAUGAAAACUCAUGAAACAUGGGACCAAUACUUUACAUGAUGCGUUUUAUAUUUUUGAAUGUUCCACAGGUAUGUUGGUCCAUGCUGAUGUAAUGACAUCAUGCAGUUUCUGCAGUUCGGAUGGCGGGACACUACCGCCACCAGCCUGUACCGUUGACACCAGGCUGGAUGGGUCCCUGGACUCAUGCUGCUUUAUGCCAAAUCUUGACUCUGCCAUCAGCAUGACGCAACAGGAACUGGGAUUCCUUGGACCAGGCAAUGUUUUCCCACUCCUCAAUUGUGCAGUAAUAGUGAACGCUUGCCUUUCUCUUCAUUUUAGCUGAUAGGAGUUGAACCUGGUGUAGUCGUCUGCUAUAAUAGCCCAUCCGUGACAAGUAUCAACAAGUUGUCUGUUCCGAGAUGUCCUUCUGCACACUACUGUUGUAUUGCGUCGUUAUCUGUCUGGUUGUGGCCCACCUGUUAGCUUGCAUGAUUCUGGCCAUUCUCCUUCGACCUCUCUCAUCAACGAGCUGUUUUCACCCACAGGACUGCCGCUGACUGGAUGUUUUUUGUUUGAACGCACCGUUCUCGGGAAACCCUAGACACUGUCGUGAGUGAAAAACCCAGGGGGUCGGCCGUUUCUGAGAUACUGGAAUCGACGAUCAUAUCAUGCUCAAAGUCGCUUAGGUCAUUAGUUUUGCCCAACGUUCAAUCGAACAGUAACUGAAUGCCUCGAUGUCUGUCUGCCUGCUUUAUAUAGCAAGCUAUAGCCACGUGACUCAUUGUAUAGUAGGAGCGAUCCAUUUUGUGAACGGGGUGGUAUACCUAAUAAACUAACCAGUGAGUGUAUAUAUUAAUGAAAAUACUGUCAGGUCACAGCUCGCUGCUCUUAAAGCUAGAAUCUGCAUUUGAAACAAUAACAAAGUGGACACCCCACCUCUGUUUUGGUAAAAAAAAAAGCUUAUGGAUGGGCCAAGAGAAAAUGUCUCUACGGCCAUCCCUAAGCUUUUUACCAAAACAUUUUGUUAUUGUGGGGUGUAAUGUUAGGGUUUAUGUUUAUGCACAAUAGCCUGCUAGCAUAUUGUUUGAAGAUGAAUAUUGUUUUGUUACACACACACACACACACAAACAAUACAGAUGUGUGUGUGUGUGUGUGUGUAGGUGUGUAAGGACUGACCAACACAGGCCAUAAAAGCUGUGGUCAAUCUGGAGAGGGGAGGGGUGCAUCUCUCUAGGCCAACCAGGGAGGUUAGAGUACUGAUCAAUACCCUAUUAGGAACUGUUUGAGUGUAGAAUCGACGGGAAGACACAAGACGGAUCUAAUCUACCCAACAACCAGAUGUGGACAGAGGAGAGCACUAAGGGACUUGGACAAGUUCGAGUGCCAGCAAAGGCGGAGCAAAAGUUUAAACCGCGCUCAGCCUCUACUAUGAUAGGCCAACGGACGAGUUGGAACUAAAGCUGUCAUAGGUAAAGAACUGCUAUAUGAGUACAUUCCACAGUUCCCUGUUUUAUCCUGGGUUAUGAUACAUUGAGCCCGUAUAUACAAAAAUUGCAUUUACCAUUUAUCGCUUGAGUUUAAUUAAAAUACUUAAAAUAUA